GCGGCGGUGGUGUAAGGGUAACAUAUAAGCUUCCCAUUUCUUCCAUUGGCGUUUGCUUAUGCAUCGAGUUCGAGUCUCGGUCGCCGCA
rnacentral:tRNA from 1 species